GAAUGAAUGAAUGAAUGAAUACGGGGAUGAGAGAAAAAGCGAGAAACACAACACGAAUCACAUCUCCCACACGCCUGAAAUUCGAUUCAUUUCGCUCGUUCUUCCUUCUCUCUUCCAGUUUUAUCUUCUUCUUCUUCUUCUUCUUCUU
rnacentral:ribozyme from 1 species